GACGAACGCUGGCGGCGUGCCUAAUACAUGCAAGUAGAACGCUGAAGGAGGAGCUUGCUUCUCUGGAUGAGUUGCGAACGGGUGAGUAACGCGUAGGUAACCUGCCUGGUAGCGGGGGAUAACUAUUGGAAACGAUAGCUAAUACCGCAUAAGAGUAGAUGUUGCAUUACAUUUGCUUAAAAGGUGCAAUUGCAUCACUACCAGAUGGACCUGCGUUGUAUUAGCUAGUUGGUGGGGUAAAGGCUCACCAAGGCGACGAUACAUAGCCGCCCUGUGAGGGGGAUCGGCCACACUGGGACUGAGAAACGGCCCAGACUGCAACGGGAGGCAGCAGAAGGGAAUCUGCGGGGAUGGAGGGAAGACUGACCAAGAAAGGGCGGGUGAGUGAAGAAGGUUUGCGGAUCGUAAAACGCUGUUGUAAGGGAAGAAAGAGGGUGAGGGUGGAAAGGACACGCUGGGACGGUAACUUACCAGAAAGGGACGGCUAACUACGUG
rnacentral:rRNA from 1 species